UUUAUUAGGCUGCAAAAACAUCAGCCCUUUUUGUGGUCUCAUGUGAGGCAAAGUUCUGUCAACUUACCUGGGCCAGGGCUAACUCAUAUCCUGGGGUCUGGUUCCAGCACCUGAGUUUUAGUGAAAAUGUUCCUUUCCUUUCCCACCGCCACCCUUGCUUUCCAUGUCUCCACCCUCAGACUGUGAGCUAAGUGAGAGGCUGUGUUCCUCCAUCUGUUGCUGAAACUUUUGUCUCUGCAAGGGUUCUUCUCAGAGGCCAGGUAACUGUUUCUUGGGUGUCAUUGCUUCCCUGGGCUUCCAAGGAUGAAUAGCUGUUUCUGAGGAACAACUGUUUGGAUUAAACAUGGAAAUGAGCCUCUAGAAGUGUCUGAUACCCCCUGGAUACUUAGCAUAUACAUGAAAAAGCAACUUGGGCUGGUUACUCAUCUAAUGUCAACUGUGCUGCUAGAAACAAUGCUGGGAGGAUGGGGAAGUAAGACUUUGUUUCUGAAGACAGAUGAUGGGAAGCUGGCUGGCUGGUUCCCUUUGGGAGGGGGGAUGUGGGGGAAAGGGCAUAGAUAGGAGGUCUUUCUUCCUCUGGUUCUGUUGGUUUCUAAGUUAACAUCAGAAAUUCCUAGAAUAUCCCCUUCCAAUGUGACUAUCCUAAGAAAUUGCUUCCCAAGUCCCAGUGAUACACCUGUAUGCUUAAAGGCUAAUGAGACUCACUUUUUUGUCUGCCCAGAAGAUAAGUAGUAUAGUCAGGUCUCUUAUACUUUUAUACUGAUUCUUUUCAUGCUUUUCAAGUUUUUAUUAAUGCCUAUGGCUGUACUCCUUAUGACAGGGGAAACUUGGAGAUAUGAGCUGAGAACUUGCGUAAAUAUUCUUAAGUGUAAGAGAGAUUUACUGUGGUGAACCCAGCUUUUUUUAUACCUAGAAUACUUUGGAGACUUGUAAGCCUACCAUUAUCUACUAAAGAAUACUAAUUGGGGCCAGAGGUCCGUGAAGAAUGGGGAUUACGUACAGAUGAAAAUUAGGUAUUUUCAGCUCUAGUUGAGGGUACAGGGAUAGGGGACAAUGCAACUAGGCUGUGGGUGGGGCAUCCAUUCCUUGCAGUGAUGGUACUCAGCCCUUGUCCCUGAGCUUGCUGCUUCCCCCCUAGGUAUGCGGUGCUUUGUGGUCAGCUGGCUGAGCAUGAGAGCAUCCAGAGGCGCAUCCAGAGUGGCUUUAGCUUCAAGGAGCAUGUGGACAAAGCCAUUGCUCUCCAGCCAGAAAACCCCAUGGCUUACUUUCUUCUUGGCAGGUGGUGCUAUCAGGUCUCUCACCUGAGCUGGCUAGAAAAAAAAACUGCUACAGCCUUGCUUGAAAGCCCUCUCAGUGCCACUGUGGAAGAUGCCCUCCAGAGCUUCCUAAAGGCUGAAGAACUACAGCCAGGAUUUUCCAAAGCAGGAAGGGUAUAUAUUUCCAAGUGCUACAGAGAACUAGGGAAAAACUCUGAAGCUAGAUGGUGGAUGAAGUUGGCCCUGGAGCUGCCAGAUGUCACGAAGGAGGAUUUGGCUCUCCAGAAGGACCUGGAAGAAUUGGAAGUCAUUUUACGAGACUAACCACGUUUCACUGGCCUUCAUGACUUGAUGCCACUAUUUAAGGGGGGGGCGGGGAGGCUUUUUUCCUUAGACCCUGCUGAGAUCAGGAAAUCACACAAAUCUGUCUCCUGGGUCUGACUGCUACCCACUACCACUCCCCAUUAGUUAAUUUAUUCUAACCUCUAACCUAAUCUAGAAUUGGGGCAGUACUCAUGGCUUCGGUUUCUGUUGUUCUCUCUCUUGAGUAAUCUCUUAAAAAAAAUCAAGAUUCACACCUUGGGUGUGAUUACACAUGGGUGGAGCCUGCAAGACCUGAGACCUUCCAAUUGCUGGUGAGGUGGAUGAACUUCAAAGCUAUAGGAACAAAGCACAUAACUUGUCACUUUAAUCUUUUUCACUGACUAAUAGGACUCAGUACAUAUAGUCCUAAGAUCAUACCUUACCUACCAAGGUAAAAAGAGGGAUCAGAGUGGCCCACAGACAUUGCUUUCUUAUCACCUAUCAUGUGAAUUCUAUCUGUAUUCCUGGGCUGGACCACUUGAUGACUUCCAGUGUCCUGGCAGCUUUUGGAAUGACAGCAGUGGUAUAGGGUUUAUGAUGCUAUAAAACAAUGUCUGAAAAGUUGCCUAGAAUAUAUUUUGUUACAAACUUGAAAUAAACCAAAUUUGAUGUUAUC
rnacentral:sRNA from 1 species